rnacentral:lncRNA from 1 species
CGUUUACGCAGCGCAUCCUGGGGGGCGGGGUCAGCAACCUCCACUGGGGAAGCCCGGACAGCGUCCUUUCUGCCCAGGGCUCCUGAGCUGCUGGCUGUGGCAUGCGAAGUGGCCUUGCAUCUCUCGGGCACCCAGUGCUGCUUGGAGGACAAGGACAGGACGCAGAGGACAGAGCCCUGCCCCCCCCCCCCCCCCCCCCCGCUUCGCUUCCAGGGAAUGUGCUGAUUUGAAAUCCAGUCGCCUGGCUAAGGGAACCUCUGCUCCCUGGCCGGUCUCUGCAGCCUGUUGGCAUUGUUUGCACUGUCAGAGGCGGGUGUCGUCAGCACUCGGGCCCGUGGGACUGGCCCAGAAGGUCUGGCAGGGAGGAUCCAGCCUGGCCCAAGGGGCCCCAACUGUGCUGCUCCCCAAGGAGCCUGGGAUGGCAAUGCAGGUAGGCCUGGCGUGUGUGGCGGGGGGAGCCGACCUCAGGGCCGUCGUCCUGGGCCGGCCGCACUGGCACCCUCCCCCAGGCCCCUGUGGCCUUUGCAGCAAGGAGCCUUCCCCUCGGCCAGAAACAUGCCUGCUCUCGAGGCCUGGGGACUAAGGGAAGGCUCCCUGAUCUCAUGGGUGGGAUGCCCAGCUGCUGUGCCUGGAGGGGCCUGGACCUAUAUAUUCCUCCUGACUUGGGGUCCCAUGGCUCACACAUGCGAAAGCGGGGGCCCCGGGGCAUGUGCUCGGGAAUGGAGGUGACAAGCUGGGGAGGGGUCUUAGCUCUGCCCAGGUCUGCAGGGAGCAGAGCCCACCCCCCAUGUCCAGGGGCCAACAAGAGCAUGAACUUGGCCUCCUCUCCCCUAUCUUGAUGGGUGGGACCGGUUUUUGAGGAUCAAGCCCCAAUUUCCAACCUCAGGAGGUGUUCCUCCCUCCCUGGGAGGCCCCUGGGCCUGCUCAGUGGGGCUUUGUGGGCAGCGG